rnacentral:tRNA from 1 species
GCCUGGUUGGUUCAGUUGGCAGAGCAUGAGACUCUUGAUUUCAGGGUCUUGAGUUCAAGUCCCACAUUGAGCA